rnacentral:rRNA from 1 species
UACGUACCGUACGAACGUUAUUCGGAAUUACUGGGCUUAAAGGGUUUGUAGGCGGCCAUGUAAGUGGGGUGUGAAAUCCCUCGGCUCAACCGAGGAAUGGCGCCCCAUACUGUAUGGCUUGAGGGAGACAGGGGUAAGCGGAACUGAUGGUGGAGCGGUGAAAUGCGUUGAUAUCAUCAGGAACACCGGUGGCGAAAGCGGCUUACUGGGUCUCUUCUGACGCUGAGGAACGAAAGCUAGGGUAGCGAACAGG